UACGUAGGGUGCAAGCGUUUAAUCGGAAUUACUGGGCGUAAAGCGUGCGCAGGCGGUUUUGUAAGUCUGUCGUGAAAUCCCCGGGCUCAACCUGGGAAUUGCGAUGGAGACUGCAAGGCUAGAAUCUGGCAGAGGGGGGUAGAAUUCCACGUGUGAGCAGUGAAAUGCGUAGAGAUGUGGAGGAACACCGAUGGCGAAGGCAGCCCCCCUGGGUCAAGAUUGACGCUUAUGCACGAAAGCGUGGGGAGCAAACAGG
rnacentral:rRNA from 1 species